GAUGGGGACCAAUGUUUAUAACAUUGUAAACGUCAGUUCCUCACUAACCGGAUGUCUAUAGGCCUGACAGGUAGGUGAGAAGUUAGUCAUUUUCUGUCAUAUAGACGUUGGUUACGGGGGGACCCGACAUCUAUUUGGCUGCAAUUAAUGCUAUUCACCUACCUGGCAGGCACUUAGACGUCAUGUGGUACAGGACCGACGUCUAUAAUAUUAUAGUCGUCGGCGCCCCAGGUCACCAUUGUCUACUGACCUGCCCGGUUAUUAAAAAGUCACUUCG
rnacentral:lncRNA from 1 species